rnacentral:rRNA from 1 species
GAUGAACGCUAGCGGCAGGCCUAACACAUGCAAGUCGAGGGGCAGCACGUCUUCGGAUGGUGGCGACCGGCGCACGGGUGCGUAACGCGUAUGCAACCUACCUCUUACAGUGGGAUAGCCCAGAGAAAUUUGGAUUAAUACCGCAUAGUAUACAGAUUCAGCAUUGGGACUGUAUUAAACAUUUAUGGGUAAGAGAUGGGCAUGCGUUCUAUUAGUUAGUUGGAGUGGUAACGGCACCCCAAGACAGCGAUAGAUAGGGGCCCUGAGAGGGGGAUCCCCCGACACUGGUACUGAGACACGGACCAGACUCCUACGGGAGGCAGCAGUGAGGAAUAUUGGACAAUGGGCGAGAGCCUGAUCCAGCCAUGCCGCGUGCAGGAAGACGG